rnacentral:rRNA from 1 species
CUACGGGCCGCUGCAGUCGAGAAUCUUCCGCAAUGCGCGAAAGCGUGACGGAGCGACACCGCGUGAUGGAUGACACCCUUCGGGGCGUAAACAUCUUUUAUGAGGGAGGAAAUUAUUGACGUUACCUCAUGAAUAAGGGGCUCCCAAUCUCGUGCCAGCAGGAGCGGUAAUACGAGAGCCUCAAGCGUUAUCCGGAAUUAUUGGGCGUAAAGGGUGAGUAGGUGGUUUGAUUAGUCUUCCGUUAAAGACUCGGGCUUAACUCGAGAAGAGCGGAGGAUACGGUCAGACUAGAGUAUGUGAGGGGUGUGUGGAACUCAAGGUGUAGGGGUGAAAUCCGUUGAUAUCUUGGGGAACACCGAAAGCGAAGGCAGCACACUGGCACAUUACUGACACUGAAUCACGAAACCCUGGGUAGCGAAUGGGAUUAGAUACCCCAGUAGUC